rnacentral:rRNA from 1 species
UACGGGGGGAGCAAGCGUUGUUCGGAUUUACUGGGCGUAAAGGGCGCGUAGGCGGUCAGCACAAGUCAGUUGUGAAAUCUCCGGGCUUAACUCGGAACGGUCAGCUGAUACUGCUUUGCUAGAGUGCAGAAGGGGCAAUCGGAAUUCUUGGUGUAGCGGUGAAAUGCGUAGAUAUCAAGUGGAACACCAGUGGCGAAGGCGAAUCCCUGGAAAAUACCUGACACUGAGGCACGAAAGCUAGGGGAGCAAACAGG